ensembl:lncRNA
CAGCAACAUCACCACCCCAUUCCCUGUUGAGCUGUAAUUGAUUCCAGGUGACUCAUGGCCAUGCCGGCAGCAGCUGAGCCUCUUAUAAACCUUUCCAUUCUGCAGUGGCUGGGCAGCACUGACCUGCAGGAGCUCACAGCUCAGCUCCUCUGCAGCUCGAGAAGAAGCAGUUACGACAUGCCCAGUGCCACCAGCAGGACACUGGGUGGGCCCCAUGGGCUGGGGCAAAACAUGCAGGGAAGCUGGCUUGAGGAACAAAUGUCAGGCCAUUUUUCCAUUCGUUCAUUCCACUCGUGAAGGCAGCACGUGGCGGGUACUGGGGAACAGAGCUGAGCCCGACAGGGACGGCCCUGCCUUCAGCUCUGUCAUGUGGAUGGCUGCCCCCCAUCUCCAGGUCUCUUCACCAGCAAUGUCCCUCCCACUUCAGGAGUCCCUCGACUCCAGGCCCGCUGCAUUUCGAGAGAAGGCUCGGCCGUGCUGCUAGCCAGCUCUGGGGCUCACCUCCCACCCACGAAGCUUUAUUUCUCUGCUAAUAAGAUGGAUGUGGCUCAUUGCCUCUCCUCCCACAGGAAGAGCAGCCCUAUCGGGUUUGGGUUUUGAUGAACAGCUGUGGAAUUCCUCCAUCCCACUAGGAGAGCAGUGAGCACAGAGGCCGCAGGAGCGUGGGAGAGAGCAGCUAACCGAGUCUGGGUUUCUGGGACUUUCUUGAGGGAGGACACAUGUCCACGGUGAGACGCAGCAGGGAGCGGAGCUGGAGGAGGCGAGGCUGGGGUGGUGUGGGAGUGGGGGCCGCCCGGCUGAGAGGGCCUCUCGGUGGCCCCCGCUGCCCCCAAGGCGGAGCUGGAGCCCCCUGCAUCGGGAGCUCUCUGCAUCAGGAUUCUCUGCGUUGUAAGUAACCCAAAUUGAAUCUAAACAGGCAAAAAGUAAGGGCAUUUCCUGGCUCCUGGGCUGGGAUGUCCAGAGAUCUAGGGUCCCAUGGGGUCCAGGGCUUCACACGCUGUCACUUGGACUCAGACUGGCUCUUGCAAGGUCAAUCAGGCAGGUACCUAACUAGUGCUGGCCAGGUGAUUGCUAAUUGACUGGUUUAAGACUCCAUUUCUGGGAGAGCUGAAACUGUAGUCAAGUCUCAGUUUGGUGAUGUGGGACUUAGCAUAAGCAACUCCAUUUUGGGCCCCAUGUCUCAUUUUAAACAGUCACAUGCCCAGCCCGGAAUCACUUGCUGGGCCAGAGGGGUGUGGCUCUUUGCUUAGUCAAGCUGGGGUCCAAAGGCUGACCCUGGAGCCAGGGGCGGGGUCAGCCCAGUUGUGCCAGAAGAGAGAGAAUGGAUGCUGGGAAGUUAAAGUGUCCCCUGCCUUUUAAAGAAUCAGAAACAGGCUUUCAAAGAAGGGCAGGGAUUUGCUAAGGUCUCCAGCAAGCUCACCAAAGCCGGGACAGAACCCAGACCCCGACCCUAUGCCCAGGCCGAUUCAAUGUUCUGUGUCCCCUUCUCUCUCCGACAUCCAGCCCAGCCCCACGGGCAGGCCAGGCCAGAAAGAAAUCGAGCUGGCGCUGGGACUGCCAGGCCCCUGUGGCCCCCAGCAUGCUCUUAACUUGCUUCACCCAAGAGCUGUUUGUUCAGGUUGGAGCAGCAACUGUUGACCCAUGUGAGCCACGAUCUGCGUGUUCGGAAGGGAAGACAGUCCUGAGGGAGCAUUUCUGUGGCUUCAGGCUCCGGGCGGGGCUGGCGGAAGCGUGGCCCCGGGGCCAGUCAGCACCUGAACCUAACUGCCCGACGUUGGGGCCUCUGUCUCCAGAGAGGCCCAGGCAGCCAGUGCAACAAUAUUAAGAUGAUUUUUAAUUUUGAAAUCAUUUUGGACUUACAGAAGAGUUGUCUUUAAAACGGUACAAAAAAAUCCCCGUAUGCCCUUGGCGCUCAGAGUCACUGAUGGCUGGGACUUCGCUGCCUCUGCUUUAUUCCCGUUCUCUAUCUGCACGUUUGGUUUUUUUCCCCAGAAUGAUUUUAGAUGCAGCCUUAACGUCGCUUUGCCCUUAAAUCCUUCAGCACGUGUUAAAGAACGCGGGCGUUCCCUCUCAUCUUGCAGAAAAAUUCUCCAAGUCCAGUGACACCAUCCUGUUUUCCAGUAAUUGCAUGCCAUUGAUUGUCCUGAUAUUUGCCGUUAUGGCGAUUGUCCUCCUUCCCUCUCUGAGAUCUGGCCCAGGAGGAAGCAUGGCUUUUCAAGGCCACGUCUCUUUGGUUUCCUUCCAUUUUUCUCUCUCUCUCAUGACCCUUAUGGUUUUGAGAGCCCAGGCCAGUGGUUUUAGCAGACAGCCUGCAUUUUAAACAUGUUUCUCUGGCGAGUCGAUGCCCUCUCCGAUUUGAGAACCACUCCCCCACAGGGGUCUUCCUGUCUGAGCCCGAGUCCGAGGCAGGAAGGUAUGGCUGGGUCCACGUCUUACUCAUCAGGUCCCCACACUGGGCUUAGUGAAGACUGGACUUUGGAGCUGCGUAGACCAGGGCUUCCGGCUCAGCUGUGCCAUGGAGUGACCUGGGCUCACCCUCUGCAGCCUCACGUUCCCCAUCUGUAAACCUCAGUGUGCAGGCAGGGGCUGGCUGGACUGGUCGGUCUUUAAGGGCCCUUGCAGCUUCGAAGCUUGGUUGUUGACCCUCGAAAGGUUUAGCCCAGGAGCCUUUCUUCCUGUGAGCUGGAUUGGAUAUCUUGGGCCUCCUACGUCAGUCAUGCAUUCAUUCAUCAAACACUUAUGGAUCAUCUAGGAGGUGAACCUGUGACUUGCUUGGAACUAAUGGAAGCUGGCGAAGAUGCUGGGAGGUCACUGUCCUGAUUACGUGACAUUAUGUAAGGCUCCCUCUUGGCGGACUGGAGAGAUUCUCCUCGCUGGCUUGGUGAACUAUGCUGCCAUAUUGAGGAAGCCCAUAUGGCAGGGAACGGUGGGCGGCCUCCAAGAUUUGCAGGUGGCUUCCAGCUGACAGCCAACAAAACCUGGGGCCCUCAGCCAGCAGAGGGCGGAGGGUCAGCAAGGGGGAGGCCUCAGAGUCCAUGUGCAAAACCGCAUUGGCAUCCCCACAUACAGAAGCAAACAGGAAUUCUACUUGAGGACGGACAUUUCUUUCCAGAAACUUCUUUCCUGCUUCCAUGUGUGGCCUGGACACACCAGAUUCAGCGGCUGCUAACACCGAGGGCGGGGACCGUGUGGUCUGUGGGUGGACUCGUCUGCGCUCGCUGUGACAUCAGAAACUGAGAGGGAGAAAGGGCGGGAGGUGGGAGUGGGGGCUCCCCUCAUGCCAGGCCUGCAGCUGGGAAGGCUUCCUGGCAGCGAUGGAAGAAGAGGCCUGUAGCUGCCUGUCGCAGUUGGAAGAGAUGGGGCCAAGGUCUGCCCUGCCAGCCCGGGCCCCCCCCUACUGCCGUCCCCCUGGCUGGCUCCCCCCAUGCAGCCGGCUACUCAGCUUCCACCUGCCGCUGUCUCUUCCCCUUUUCCUCCUCUGUGCCCUGAAUGCCUCAUUCCCAAAUCCUUGCUUUCCUGGAAAUGUGACUCCUUCUCUUCCUCUUGCUGAGGAAAGUUCUGGCCCUGGAUCUCUGGCCUGAGAUCUAAGCUCCUCAUCUCACGCACCGGAAAACUGAGGGAUCUUCUCUCCUGACAGUUCGAUAAUGCCAGCUUCGUCCCAAAGGCGACCAGGUUCCCUCAUAUUCCAACCCUAGCUGUUCCUCGGGGCUGCCCGGCUCCCCGGGAAACUCUCCUGGGAAAGAGACUCGACCCUUGGCCCUGAAGUGUUAGCAAAUCGGAUCGGCCUUCCCAGCCUCUCCCCCCGCAGAGCGGAGUCAGAUGAGGCUGAUGCUGUGGUCACAUCGGCAGCCCGGAGGUUGGCCAGCCAUCGUACAGGCCUGGAGGAAAGCCGUGCAGGAGAGUGCGAGGUCAAGUAAAGCAGGGGUGGGGACCACACCGACCGCAGGUUUAUGGGGCAGCGGGUCAGGGUUCCUGCCCCUCCCCCAGCCCUGUCCCAACCGCAGAGCGGACGGAAGCGAAGGGGGUCCUUCUGUGGGGGGAAG